rnacentral:rRNA from 1 species
GACGAGGAGCUUGCUCCUCUGAUCAGUGGCGAACGGGUGAGUAACACGUGAGCAACCUGCCCCAGACUCUGGGAUAACCGUUGGAAACCGCUGCUAAUACCGGAUACGACACGGACAGGCAUCUCUACCGUCUGGAAAGUUUUUCGGUCUGGGAUGGACUCGCGGCCUAUCAACUAGUUGGUGAGGUAAUGGCUCACCACGGCGACGACGGGUAGCCGGCCUGAGAGGGCGACCGGCCACCCUGGGACUGACACCCGCCCAGACUCCUACGGGAGGCAGCAGUGGGUACUAUUGCCCAUUGGGCGAAAUCCUGAUGCACCCUCGCCCCGCGAGG